rnacentral:rRNA from 1 species
CAGCCGUAAACUAUGCGCGUUAGGUGUAUCGGUGACCACGAGUUACCGAGGUGCCGAAGGGAAACCGUGAAACGUGCCGCCUGGGAAGUACGGUCGCAAGCCUGAAACUUAAAGGAAUUGGCGGGGGAGCACAACAACGGGUGGAGCCUGCGGUUUAAUUGGACUCAACGCCGGACAACUCACCGGGGACGACAGCAAUAUGUAGGCCAGGCUGAAGACCUUGCCUGAAUCGCUGAGAGGAGGUGCAUGGCGUAGACGUCU